rnacentral:tRNA from 1 species
UGGUGCGACGGUCUAAGCUCAUUGACGUCUGUUUUGCACAUAGGAAGUGAAAAAAUUUUUUCUCGCGCCAU